UGGGGAAUUUUGGACAAUGGGGGAAACCCUGAUCCAGCCAUCCCGCGUGUGCGAUGAAGGCCUUCGGGUUGUAAAGCACUUUUGGCAGGAAAGAAACGUCAUGGGUUAAUACCCCGUGAAACUGACGGUACCUGCAGAAUAAGCACCGGCUAACUACGUGCCAGCAGCCGCGGUAAUACGUAGGGUGCAAGCGUUAAUCGGAAUUACUGGGCGUAAAGCGUGCGCAGGCGGUUCGGAAAGAAAGAUGUGAAAUCCCAGAGCUCAACUUUGGAACUGCAUUUUUAACUACCGGGCUAGAGUGUGUCAGAGGGAGGUGGAAUUCCGCGUGUAGCAGUGAAAUGCGUAGAUAUGCGGAGGAACACCGAUGGCGAAGGCAGCCUCCUGAGAUAACACUGACGCUCAUGCAAGAAAGCGUGGGGAGCAAACAGG
rnacentral:rRNA from 1 species